GGGCUUACGCCAAAUACCUGACCUUCGGACCUUCCGCCGCGAACUGAAGACACAUCUUUUCAUUCGCGCGGGGCUGGCUUAAAUUUUAAAUUUUAAAUUUUAAAUUACAUAAAUUUUAUCGAUUUUAAAUUUUUUACUAAUUUUAAAUGGGGUUUUGGUUUUUAUAAAUUUUUAAAGUUCUAGGCUAAUUAUAAUAAGUUUUUUAACUUGCAUUUUAAAUUGUAUACUGUAGUGUCUGUAUUUUAUUGUUGCCUGUACACCGCCCUGAGUCCUUCGGGAGAAGGGCGGUAUAAAAAUCAAAUAAAUAAUAAUAAAAUAAAAUAAUAAUAAACAUAACAAUGGUCUCAUUCUUCAGAUUCCCAUGACACUGGAAUGAUCCUCCCUUCUCUGCACCCACUGCAAGAGUAUUCGGUGUGUCCCUGAGGCAAUUCAAUAGUUAGUCAACAAUUCUGUCAGUGCAUCAACAAUGUAUGCCAUUCUUCUCCAACUUGAUGCCCUUCUGAUGUGUUUGAAGUCCAACAAAAUUUCCAAAUUGCAACAAAGCAGAGACAAAAGGCAUCCUCUUCUCCCCUUUCUGGUACAAAGCCUUUGCAUAGAAGGAAUAUCUGAUCAGAUGGCAACAGUACUAAGAGCAAAUAAAACCACAGUCACAACAGGAAAUGUCAUCAGAUACCUGGAUCAUAUUACCAUAUGUGGUGGACAUGUGUUGAAGCUAAAAGAUACUGGACUAAAAUAUACAUGUGGUUGGAGAAAAUGAUCAAAAAACAUAUUGACUUUAAGCCAGAAGUCUUUCUGUUGGGAAUUAUACCAGAGAUAUAUACUAGAGAUUUAAAAUAUUUGAUUGUGAAUAUUGUUACAGCAGCCAGGAUUGUGUUUGCUAAAAACUGGAAAAAUGAGAAGUUACCUUCACAAGACGAAAUAAUUAGGAAAAUGAUGAAAUGUGCAGAGAUGAGUAAAUUGACAUUUGAAAUUAGAGAGCAAGAAGAUAAGCAAUAUUAUAAAAUAUGAGAUUUAUUUUAUCAUUGGCUAGUUGGAAAGAUAUGUUAGAAAAGAUAAUAUAUGAUAUAUGAAAGAGAUGUUUAUUUUGUGAUUGCAUAAGAAGAUAUGUUAACACCCAUGCAGCACAUUGUAAUUGGUUUGAUGAGGGGUUUUUUUGUCAAAAAUAAAUAAAAAAUUUUCACACACACACACACACACACACACACACACACACACACACAAACACCAACCACAGCCACAACAGAAAAGAAUAAGAACAAUACCUCUAUUGUUCAAAGAACAAGUACUGUACCUUUCUCAAUUCCUUCCUCAGGUCAUACACUUUUUCCCAUAAUGCGGUGGGGUCAAAAAAGUCAGGAUAGUAACUGUAACCGUCAACCUGUGAUUGAAGCUCUGUCCCUUUUAAUACACAUCUUUUUAUUUAUUUAUUUAUUUACAUCUAUCUAUCUAUCUAUCUAUCUAUCUAUCUAUCUAUCUA